CUAUAUAGCUGCCCUUGCUAAAUUCCCAGCAUGCCGAAUUCAUCAAGAAAACCUGACAAAUCGUCUUAUGUCUGACGUAGAUGGAAAAGGGACACUAGAGGAGCAGCCAUGCAGACAACCUUGGUGAAGGAUCUGUGACCUCCAGGAUUUCAAUGGAAGGUCAUUGUGUGUGUCACUUGAAUCGGGAAACAUAGGGAUUAAGCGAACUGACAAAAUUUGUUUGAGCUAGACUUCAUUGUUAUUGACCAAGAGGGCAACAAAAUGGAAGGCUGCACCCCAGCCAAUCGAAUUGACCAGUUCAGACAUAAAGAAAAGGAAGGUUUGAUAUACAGGUUCGAGUCGUUUAUUGUUGCCGCCGUGUGGAGCAAAUACAGGGCAACAGAUCAUACAUGUAGAAUUG